AAUGAUAAUAAUAAUGUUCAAUGCAGGUUGUUGACCAAUGGUUUAUAAUCAAAAUUUAAUAUGGCUGGCGGUAAGAAUUAUGAGAAGUUUGAAGGAACAAACAUUUGUAAGGUUGUUACUGCUUCAUGUCAAUUAAAGCGACUGCUACAGCUGCCGAAAUAGGCAAAACGAAUAAUGACUUUAUUAAAAUAUGCACUCGACAGAUCGAAUAGUGGUGGUUGGUACAAAACAACAUUCAUACGUUUUCCUAAUUGUUCUGGAACUAUUGUUAAAUAAAACUUUUUUUUUU